CGGCGUUUCAAUGAGUUCCUCUGUGCGUUCUAUACUCGAGAAUGGGGUAAGAAGAUUCCAGGGAGUGUAUGGCGAGGGGGGGCGGGGAGAGGCGUCCUAGUCGCGCGCAGAGAAAGUGCUUUACAGCCCUCUCUAAGCGGUUUACAGAGUCAGCAAAUUGCCCCCAACAGACUGGGUCCUCAUUUUACUGACCUCAAAAGGAUGGAAGGCUGAGUCAACCUUGAGCCGCCUCCUUGAGGUAGGCUAAGCUGAGAAUGUGACUUGGCCCAAUAUCACCCUGGGAGCUUCGUUCCAUGAAUUCAGCCCAUUAUGACUUAUUCAACCAAUCUACUUAAACUAUGGUUUAACAUAUUGUAUGCACUUUUAUGAGUAAAAAACUUGUGCCAAUACGAAAUAUCAUUAACCUGAUUUCCAGGUUUAAAAUAGCUAGAAUGUUUUCUUUAUAGAUCUGGUUGAUCUGGUGAUAUUUAUAUCGAUUCAGUCGUUUUCAGUCAAAUACAGAAGAAUGAAUUUCUGGAGGAUGUGUGCCAUUAUUGAAAAUGAGACCAGAACUAAUUGGUGAAUAAUUAAUACAAUUAAUAAAAUUGGUGAAUAAGAAAUAUAAGUAUGUUUUUCUAUAGAUUCUUCUUCUAUGACCUGUCACUCAUGUUGGAAAAUAAAUAAUACCAUUUUUAUAUAUAAUAGGAAUAGUAAGAAAAGGUGAAAUCGUACAUAAUGCAACAUUUUAAAAGGCCACUCUGUUCAAAAAUUAUUUUUUUGAGGCAUAGUCUGAAAGCAAAACAUUUUAACAAUUAAAUGAGAUAGAGAACAUUUGGAAUUUUGAACUGUUGUUGUGGAUACUCUCUCAAAACUGCAUGGUGGAUACAUAGACAUAGCAUUCCAUUUAAAACUAAAGAUAAAAGGUUUCCCCUGUCCAGUCAUGUCUGACUCUAGGGGGCCGUGCUCAUCUCUGUUUCUGAGCCAAGAGAGCCAGCAUUGUCCAAAGACAUUUCCGAGAUCAUGUGGUCAGCAUGAGUAUAUGCAAAGGUGCACAGAAUGCUGUUUGCUUUUCAACUGAAGUGGUAGCUAUUUAUCUACUUGCACUUGCAUGCUUUCAAACUGCUAGGUGGGCAAGAGCUGGGGCAAGUAACGGAAGAUCACCCCAUCAUGUGACGCUCAGGUCUCGAACCCAGGCUGUCAACUUUCCAGCUGACAAGCUCAGCAUCUCUAACCUCUGAGCCAUAAUGCCUCCACAAUUCCAUUUACUAGAAGGCAAACUGACAAGUUAUUUUAUAUUGCAACUAUUUACUAUCUAAACUUAUUUUUACCAUUUCCACUGCUAGUGAUUUCUUACAUCUUGCAGCAUAAUAAUCCAAUGAUUUGCUUGUCAGUGUAAGCCCUAGCUUCAUUAGUGAUAUAUUACUUCAACAAUUGUUGGAUGACGCAUUAAAAUGCUAUCAAUCUUUAAUGAGGAAAUGGCCAAAAUACCAGGCUGAAGUCACCUGUUUUUUUUCCCUUGUAACAAGUCUCAAUUAAGUUCUAUGUACUGUUUGUGAAAAUGUUUACCAUAAUAUUUUGUGUUUCUGCAUAGCUUAUCAUGCUAAAUACUAAUGAAAGCAAUGGACUUACUUUAAUGGAGCACAGGAUCAGGCUGUACAUUCAUAAUCCAGAACUCAAUAGAUAGCUGCAAGAAGGCUCCAUGGGACUAAAUGAGCAAUGCCUUUGAAUAAACAUGAUAUUAUAUGUCGUGAAUAUCUCCUCUGAACCAGUUCUGUCAGGGCAUUUCAUGUCAGUAUUUUUUUGUUAAUAAUUUUAUUGAUAAUACAGACUAAAUUAGAAGAAGAAAAAUCAGGUGCAGAAAAAAAAGAAAGAAGUAGAAGAUGAAAGAAAAAGGCAACAAAUGCAGUGAUAAAGAAGUGGCUUCUAACCUUUAUCACAUCAAGCAUAAGCUGAUAUACGAAAUUUUCACUUUAUUUGAAAGUUACAGAUAAAAAAGUUCUCCUUUUUAUAGCCUAAUUUUUAUCUCUACUCAAUAGAGAAAUAAUCAUCUUUUCAAUUCUAGUUCAGCAAAACAUUAAUUAGGACUUGCCAGAAAAAUCAAACAAAUGGUGUAUCUCUGGUCAAAUAGUCAAACUUUAUACCCCUUCAUUUUGCGCUGCAGAAUCUUGAUUUUUAAAGGAUACUUAUGACAUUGCAGAAUUUGAUCUAUCGUUACUCUUUGCAUUAAAAAGGAAUAUUCAAAGUUUUCAGCAGGAUUUUGUAAAUCCCAUAAAGAAGUCUGGUCCAUGAUUUCUUGUCAUAGCUGUUCUAUGUCCAAAUCCUUUUCUUGAUUUGUCUUUUGUUUUAGUAAUCUUAUAGUAAGUAAUUAAUUUAUUACAGUCAUAGGCCAGAACAAAUAAAAAAACCCACUCAGUAAAUAUACAAUUAAAAAUUCAAGAAUAAAAUAAUACAUAUCAAAUAAAAUCUAUGAUAAAAACCAGUUAUCUGUUAUGUAACUUAAAAUUAAAAUACUACUGACAUCCAUCGUGUCUAGUACCAUUCCUAUGAUUAAAAUACAUGAUCUCAACCAAUUGGGUCCCUUCCUAAUUUACAUGCAUGUAGAACUGUCAGGUAUGUGAGUAAAUGUAUUUUUCCCAUAACUGUUUUAUAUAUAUAUAUAUCUCCAAAAAGUUGGCAUCAGUUGACAUCUAUAAUUCGGUAACCAAUUUUUUUCUUGUGGACAUUGCAGCGACACUAAAUUUUGCCACUGCAUUUGCCACUGCACUAUACUGCACGUGUAGUUGUACACUAAAUUUUGCCACUGCACGUGUAGCACAAUAAAAACUUUACUAAAUCUGCACUACUAUUAAUCUUCUCAUCGUUCCCAUCACCAAUCUCUUUCUACUUAUGACUGUAUGACUGUAACUUUGUUGCUGGCAAUCCUUAUGAUUUAUAUUGAUAUAUUGACCAUCAUUUGUGUUGUAAAUGUUGUACCUUGAUGAAGGUAUCUUUCCUUUUAUGUACACUGAGAGCAUAUGCACCAAGACAAAUUCCUUGUGUGUCCAAUCACACUUGGCCAAUAAAAAUUCUAAUCUAUUCUAUUCUCUAGUAGCCGGAUUUGAGUCUUGGAGCAAAAAGUCUACAUAAAAGUCGUCUGUCCUCCCUGGCAAUCUCACUAGUGAGGGGAGAAUAUAUAUUGACCUACAUACUCUGUAUAAUUCACAGUACAACAAGACAUGUGAGAUAUCUUCGACUUCUCCUUUACCAAAUAUACAUACCCGUUCUGCUAUUGGUGUUUUCUUAUACCUACCCUGGAGAAGUGCUGAGGGGAGUAUAUUAAAUCUGGCUCUGAAGAAAGCUGUUCUUUGUUUUGGUAAUCUUAAUUUUGUUGUCUUCCAUGCCUUCAAACUCUGUAAUAUUUAUGUCAGGUAAACAUUUCCUUAAUUUUUUUCUCACCUAAGUUUAUCUACUGAAAUCUGUAGCCUUUCUGAGAUAAUUGUCAAUAUUUCAGUCCCAUGUUUCAAAAAACUCUAUAAGUUAAGAAAAAAUUAUACCUGGUUUAUGAUUUUAACUCUGUUCUCCAUGGUUUUUUAAUCUCCAUUUGCAACUUUCAUCAAGCCUUAAUGUCUAAUAUGGGUUUAGUUCCAUUUCAGUAAUUUUCCCCUAGUAUCUUAUUUCAUUUUUUUUAAUCUUAAAGCAAAAAAUAACUGAUAUUCCAAUAACCGUCUUUUGUCUCCCAAUCUGUUUAAAACUUUCUUAAAAUACUUUUUUUUUUGCUUUUUGCCAAUUGCAUAUUAUUUUUAAUUCUUAAGUCUGUUUAAAAAUUUUCGAAUUCAAAAAAAGAGAUAAAACUGACCAGCUGUCAAAUUAAGCUUGCUGUUUUGAGAAUCUCUGAUAAUUAUAAAGUGAUUAAAUUCAACAUUUCCAAACGUAAUUAGAAAGUGAGUUUGGCUAGCUUAGUGUCCUUAUAAAUGCUCUUCCAUUAUUGAGAGCAAAGUUGUUGUCUCCCUUGACUCCUGGUGCUCAAACCCACAGCAGAAUGCUGUUUGUGAGUAGCUGCAAUUCAGACACUUGUAAACAAUCUCCCAAUCUCUCCCAUCUUUGGAAAACUAAAUAACUGAAUCUAAUUGCCAGUCUUCUGUCUUUCCCAACGAUUGUCAUCUCUGAUUUGUGGAUACAUCGUUAGUUAGCCAAGACACACACCAGAAGCCACUUAUUCUGUUUGAUUACUGAUUACAUAUUUUGCACCACUCAUUCUGUUAUUUUACUGAAUUAUGUGACACCACCAUAUAAUAUUACAUACUGUAUUUAAUGUGUAACAAUGCAUAUUACCUAGAAAAGUAUGAUAUGUCAGGUGAUAUACUAAUUUUAAAUACAUUCCAUUGUUGGAUUAGAAUCCAGAUUAGACUGGUUUCAUAUAGAUGCUGCCUUAUCUAUGAGAUUUGUAAAAAUAAUUAUAUAAUGCCAUUCAAAGACCAGAUUCCCACCCUGUACCAGGUCAUAAUGUUAUUUUGAGAACUCACAUCAUGAAAAGUUGUGGAUUUGUUAUCUACUGCAGUAUGUUAGCCAAGCCAAUUAUGGCAUAUUUAAUAUAUCACAAUUUAAGAAAAUAGUGUGAUAUAUAUGAGCUACAGUAAUAAAUUUUCUCUCCAUCCUCUCUAUUAUGUUUCUCUCCAGUACAUUCUAUAAAGAGAUAGCAAUGUACGUGCAUUCAGAAUACAUGUCUUUCUCUGUGAAUGGCUUUGUGCUAAUCCUGUGUCUAAAAAUGACUCCUUCAGCAGCAGUUCACAGAUACAAUUAUUUCAUGUAGACCUGUACUGUUCAAUAUUUAGUUAUAUUAAAAUAGGCUUAGAGUCAAAAUAAUGUCAAUUAAGAACAAGAAAAGUAUUUGUUUUUAUAAUUUAUUUAAUUAAAUAAGAAUAUAUAAUAAAGGAACAAACGGAAUUUGCCCUUUGAUGGAAUGCAAAUACCUAUUAUAUAAAAUACAGUAUAUACAUUACAGUAUAUACAUUCUGGAAAAAAAUUGCUACCAUUAAUUUUAUGUUAAUGUUAGCAUUAAUAGUCACUCGAUUAGAUUAGUUAAUGUGAUUUUAAAUUCCAAUGUUAUUUAUUGGGAGAAUAAGUGUCUUUGCAGAUUGAGGAGAAAAAAAUAGAGCAUUUUGAAGGGAAUUCCCCUUUCACAAAUUCUACAGAACUUUGUACUGUCAAUACUGGAUCCAUACCAUUAAGUUAAAAUAUAACAAUUUGGGGAAAAUAAGAGUAGAGAGAUAGGUGGGUAGGUAAGGAAAGAAGCAGUGGUGAAAUCCCACAGGUUUGUACUAGUUCGGGCGAAUUGGUAGUGAUAAAAGCUACCGGUUCGUGAUAAUGCCACUUCUGGAAAGAACUAAUAAUAUUUAAAGCAGCUAUGUCCAGCCCGCAGGCCAUAUGCGGCCCUGAACAGCUACUAAUGUGCCCCAGGAUUGUAAACUUUUAACACUAUUAAUAAUUCCCUCAACACUGUCAAACUAUUUACUAAAUCUGCACUACUAUUAAUCUUCUCAUCGUUCCCAUCACCAAUCUCUUUCCACUUAUGACUGUAUGACUGUAAUUUUGUUGCUGGCAAUCCUUAUGAUUUAUAUUGAUAUAUUGACCAUCAUUUGUGUUGUAAAUGUUGUACCUUGAUGAAGGUAUCUUUUCUUUUAUGUACACUGAGAGCAUAUGCACCAAGACAAAUUCCUUGUGUGUCUAAUCACACUUGGCCAAUAAAAUUCUAUUCUAUUCUAUUCUAUUCUAUUCUAUUCUAUUCUAUUCUAUUCUAUUCUAUUCUAUUCUAUUCUAUUAUGUGAUUUAUAUAUAUUAACUAUAUGACACAUUUUCUAUGUGGCCCAAGAUAGUUCCUCUUCACUCAGUGCAAUCCAGGCAAGCCAAAAGGUUGGACACCCAUGAUUUAAAGUGCUACAUAGCAAUAUUUUAUUAUUGUAUGCAGUUGUUUUGUAUAGCACUCUGGGAGAGCUCUGAAAGAUACUUUCUAAAUAUUGUAAUAAAUACUUGUAUUUGUAAAGGAAGUGCCUUUUUUCUGAAUAGGUGAAACUAAAUAUCACAAAUAUCAGCAACUUUUAUAUGUCUCAUUUAGCGUUCAUUUGACUGUAUUGCUGUGCAUGGAUCAGAUAGAAAUGUAAUUUUAAAUGGGAUUAUAUCAGGUUUUUAUCACACAGAAAGGCAAUGCAUAUUAAAACUUCCUGUUUUCUGCCAGCAGAAAGUGAACUGGUGUUAUCUGUCUGAAGUACAUGCUGAAGUUCUUUUACAAUUUUGCUUACUUGUUGGAUCAGCAUAAAUAUUUGGCUGACUCUUUUCUAUCUGAUAAUAUGUGCGUACAUGAUUUAAAAAAGGAGUGGAGGAAAACAUAAUACAUGAAUGACAUUGAUAUGAAUUAAGAGGAUAUCAUUAAUGCCCUUUAUGUUUUCAUCUUUCAAUUUAACUAGCAGUUGGAUUAUUUUUUCUCCAGUGGAACUAGUGAAGUUUUCAAACAAACUGAAACCUUGUCACUAUUUUUUUUUUUACUGAAACUGCACCUGCUAUGACAAUUUUCAAGGAUGUCAACCUCUCCCAUACAUCCCAGUUGCUCUUGUGCCCUGGGGGAAUAGCACCAGAUUAAAAUAUAAAUCCUCUAAUUUGCCAACAAAUACUUGGCAGCAUUUACAGCUUGGUGAAAAUCAAGCAUUGGGAAUCCUAUUAAAUUUUAUGCUGCUGUUUGGAACCUGACAUCUGCUCACAUUUACAGCUGGGAUUUGAUGAUACGUUCAAUGAGUUGCCAUAUUCCAUUACACAGCAGUUGUUAUGGGCUCUCAAAUCCCCAGUGGUUAAUUUCUUUAAAAAAAAAGGAAAUGCCAGCGGUUAGCUUUGGGGGUGAAAUUUUCUGAUUAGGAAGCCCUUCCUUUGCUCCCUGAUGUAUGCUGUAGAUUCUCUCUGCUUUGUCAAUGGUGUGUAGGAAAUACACUAUAAGCCUGCCUAGGGCAUUUUUUGUCUGUUCUUAAAUCAUCUUUUCCCUAAACUAAACCUUGGCAUAGAAAUAAGAUUCGAAGACUGAAUCCUGGAAAGCUCUGGUAUAAAACUAUAGUACAUAAAAUAAAGUGGAUGUAGCAAAGUGCUUUGAUGAUCUGUGUUGAACGUCUUCUAGCUUCCUCCAUUCCCUGAAUGACACACUACAUAACCUGAGGCAUAGUUUCCUCUUUCUUCAUAAUUCGUUCACAAAAGCCAAUAAAACAAGGAACAGAUCAUGAGGAUAAACAAGGAGUUGCCAUGGAGAUAAUACGCUACCAUUUUAUGUUGCAAUUGAAAUUGCAUACAUUUGGCAUGCCACACAUGGCUCCAGUAGGCAUAAAAUUCUAUAUAAUUUCUGCUUCCCUCUGAGAUGCUUCCUGAGGAAGCCUACCUGCUCUUUCCUCCCAUUCAGAAAGGACUGGCAAUUUGUUCUGGUUGAGAAAUACAAGGACAGCAACCCAAGCCUGCCAAGAUUCACUCUUUUAUGUAUCUGUUCAUCAUGCAGGGCUCUUGCGUUCUUUGGCAUCUGGCCCUUCUAUCAGCCAGUUCUGGGCCACUCACUCCCACUUCUGCAAUUUUAAAUGGAAAAGGAAUGAAUAUGCAAUGCUUUCUGAAAAACCAGGCUGGAAUUCACUGGAGGCUUACCCAACAGGUCAGAACUUCCUGUCCUUAGUUAUGUAACCCUUCAGUUGUGUACAGAGUUUAAGAACCAGCGGAUACAUGUGUUGGGUUAGGAAAUGCUGCAUUUCAACAAAAGGAAUUACUUGAGAUUCAGAAGUCUAAAUGAAGGAAGGAAGGAGCUACCUACAUAGCGAAUUCAAUCCACAUACACGUUGGAUUUCUACUUUGGAUCUUACAGAGCUACAUAACAAAGGAGGAAUUUAACUGGUUUUCUGAGCAUUGCAUGAUCUGACCUUGGGGUGAAUUUGUUGAGACGUCCACUCCUGGAAAGAUUGGCAAAUGUCUUGAAGGUUUUCCACUUAUGAUUUUCCUCACUGUCGAAUGAUGAACUUUAAAUUGUUUGGAAAUGGCCUUAUAACUCUUCCCCGAUUGCUGGGCAGCAACAAUUGUUUCUCUAAGAUCAUUGCUGAUGACUUUACUCUUUGGCAUUGUAUUAACAUACAUACCUCAAUGCCUGCUACCUAGCCUCUUCAUACUUAUGGAAGUAGUACCGGUGUACAAGUUUUCUACAUGGCUUCUCCAUUUUGGCUUUCUUUUUAUAAAUAAAAGACUUGGUAUCAUAUGCAAAUAGAUAAAAAAUUCAGUUAUUGAAUUUUAGCAUUGUUGUUUACCUGAGGUUAAAUACUUACAAAAAUUGCUAAGGACCAGAUGAUUUUUACUAUGUCGUGAUACACAAGUCUGUAGAGAUUCUCAGUAAUCCAGGUCAUGGUUGUCCCAAAAGUGCUUUUUCAGGAGGCAACUGGACUUUCUUUUUUUUUUCUUUUGAAGAUGUUUAGCUUCUCAUAACUCUUUGGGUCCUGGUACAUAAAACCAUAGAACUCAAAGACGGUGUUCUUACUUUUUCACAUGACUAUGGAAUCUGUUUCCUGACAUUAUCUACCCUGAAAGACUGACAAUAACUGCUAAUAACCAAACCACCAUCAACGACAUGAAAAGAAGCAACUGCCGAUAGAUAGAUAGAUAGAUAGAUAGAUAGAUAGAUAGAUAGAUAGAUAGAUAGAUAGAUAGAUAGACAUAGAUUUAUAUAGAUAUAGAUAUAUCCCAUAAUUUUGUAUAAUAUUUUUAUUGUUAAAAAUGAGAAAUAGCAUUUGUAAUUAAUGUCCAAAAACCCAGUACUAAGUGAAAAUUGUUACUAUUUUAUAGAAUUUAAAAGAAUCCCACAAGGCAACAUUGAAUGAGCCUUGCUAUAGUAAUUUUUCUAUAUUACUUGUAAUCAUUAAAACAGCAAUGCAAAUAGAUAAAAAAUUCAGGCACAUGUUGUGGUAUUCUGAUCAACUGUUGAAGAAAAUAUGUGUUUCUGGGUGUGUAUUUGAGUGAGUGUGUGUCUAACUUGAUUGCCUUUGUGGAGGAAGGGAAAGAAUUCUUUAGCAGCCGAUACACUUGCAGGUUUUCCUUUUGUUAUAUUUUAUUUUUACAAGUGAUAAUGUGUUUGUUUCUAUAAAAAUGAUCCUUGAUUCAGGUUGCAAAUAAACCCUCUGCAAAUAAACAACAACAGAAAUUCAGCUUAUUGUCAAUGUACAAAACACACUGAAAUAUUUUUAAUUAGCUAAAUGAGAAUUACUGUAUAUAUUUAUUUUGGAAAAAGUCCUGCAGCAUAUAUAUUCACUGUAUGACAAAAAGUUAUUUCCUGUUUAUUUCCUUUAUCAAGUACUUGGAGCUGAAUGGUGAAAAUCAUAAUCAAUGGAAAAUCAUAAAGAAAAAAACUGCAUUCAUUCAGUUUGUGUUGCAUUUACAAUGCAUAACAGAUAUUUAUUUACUUUCUAUCACUAUCUGAAGAAUCCUUUCUAACUGCAAUUUCACAUCUUUCAGCAUCUGUAGAUACUUUGGUAAACCAUGCAGUAGUUUAUAAUGCCAUUUCCGAAAGCCGUUUAUGAAUAUUUUGCCCCACACAUGUAUAUAUUAUUCUGAUUCUAUAUAUUUUGUUUGUGCUAAAUAUCAAGAUUAUGCUUUCAGGGCUCAUAUUCCAUUGCCUAUGCAAUGCAUUCAAAUACUGUACAUCUGAGCUACAGGGUACCCUUAAUUAACAUCACCAGUGAUAUAAUUGGUAAAGUGUCUUACUCUCAAAAUAACAACCAGAAUGAGAAGGCUUUUUUUUUUAGUUCCCCAGCUUGUUUACUUAGAUUCAGACAUUAUCACAAAAACUGAUUAUGUAUAGUACUGUGCAAAAGUCUUAGGCCAUCUUUAGAUUUGUUGUUGCAGCAAUGGUAUAAUGACAAUAUAUAAAUAUGUCUCAGUCUCCUUAUUAGAAUACAACCAAAAAAUAACAGGAAAUUUGUGUGCAGAAUCCAAAACAGGAAAAAGCCUAAAAAAGAGCUUCCAUAGGCCAAAGUGACAAGUAUAUAGUGUGACCUCCCUUUACAGCUGAGCAGACACCUGGCCCCCAUAAAUCUAAAUGGAAUGGAACCCUAAUUUGACAUAGAUAAAAUCAUACUUUUGCAUCAGCAAGGCUACUCUCAAAGGAAAACCAACAAACUGGAUAUUCAAGAUGUGGUAUUCGAGACCAAAAAACUAAUUAGGGUCAUUAAAAUCUUGCUAAAACAACAAAGCGGGUGGUGGCCUAAGACUUUUGCACAGUACUGUAUAUAAAAUGUAUGUUACAUAACUGUAUAAUAUUUCAGCAGUGAUAUGUAUUAUGAUCAUUGGGCAAAUCAUUUCACAAUGUUUUAGGUUCACUUACAAAUUCACUACUUUUUCAUAAUAAGUAGCAGAAAUUAUAUAUCCAGAAAUACAGGAUAUAUAAAUUAAGUCACAGGAUAAACUGGAGGCAUUUUAUAUUAGCAGCCAGUGAAUAACCAGAGAUAGGAAGGUCACUAACGGCUAGAAGCAUUAGACGUUUUAUGGAAAGAGUUGUCCUGGGCCCCAAAUGUUUGUGUUUGUGGAUGGCUUCUGUUAGUUUUCUCCUUGCCCAAAGUUAUCUUUUGUGGCUGAGACAAGCUACAAUUAUUCCACAAGUUAGAAUCCUUGCAUAUUAUCUUAUACAAUGUUCUGAUGUGCUUUAUUAGCAGUAGCCACAUUUAGCAGUUUCUUUUUUGGCAUGGACUUGAGGAGUUAAAAGCUAAAAAGUAUUCAUCCUCUUUUGAGUUGUUAAAUUUUUUUGCAUACAUUUGCUAUUAAUUGCUACCAAAUAAUUAUUUCUGAGAGAAAAAAUAACACCAAAAUUAAAACCAUUUGUAGCGGAUAACAAUCAUUGACAUAGAUAUGCAAACUUCAUAAAAAUCUAAAAAUGGAUGAAUACUUUUUCAUAGAACUGUACAUUGCUAGCAAUGUGAGUGACGGCUGGUGGACUAAAGGCACUUUGGUAUAAUUUUGAUAUAUGUGUGCUUAUGUGGAGCUGAAGGCUAAGAUGUUCCCCUAGUGUCUUAGUAUGAGCACUGUGUAUAUAUAUUUAGGCAGGUUACCCCAGCAUAAUCCCUGAUCAAUCAACAAUGCUGAAAUUUGCAUGAAAACUGUGGUACAUGUUCUCUUUUAUUUUUUUUCCACCACAAAGUGAAAACAAAAUAAUUUGAUAAUUUCCCAGGCUGGAUACAUGAGGCAGUAUGGAAAGAAGUGGUUCCUCAAGAUCUAGAGAAUUACAGUUCUCAGCAUCCCUGACCAUAGACAUAUAGACAGUAGCUAUUAAAAAGUGUAAUUUAACAACAUCUGGGUGGCAGGGGUUUUCUCCCCAAUACAACUGUUACUAAAAUAACAACAACGUAUGCACUCCCCAAACAUUAAAUUUAACAAACUGAUUAUAAGUCUGCUUUGCCUGUACCUUUAAAUAUACUAUAUAAUUCCAUACAAAAUGAAUAGUUUGGUGACUAUUGCAUUUCAAAAUACUUUAUUAGAGGAUCUACACAUGUUCUGCAAAGUUAUCCAUGGCACUUUUUAAACGAAAAGUUAAUUGAAAAGCAAAUGUCUUACGCCAGACAUUCUAUAUCUUCCCAAGAUGCAUGCUGUUACAUGGAAAAACUUGGCUGUUUUCAUUCAUUUUGCAUAUUUCCCGAAUUUCUCGUGCUCUAAAAAUUGUAUUGAAAAAUAAAAUUAGUUGACAAAGGACUUUAUUAGAAACCCAUUAAAAUUAUCUUAGUUCUUUAUUAAUCCAAUUCUAUAAAAGCAACUCUGAGCAGUGCACACCAAUCUUCUUCUCAAACAUCUCAGUGUUUUACAUUGCAACAAAAUUUCCAAAAGAUUUUUGCAGCAGUUUUUAACAUUCCUUAUGCAGCAUGAAUCAUGCUUUGUAUGUACAGUACUCAUAAAUGACAGACCAAAGAAUGGAAAUGUUACUCAUAACCCCAUUCAAACAAUAACUGAGCAAUAAUUGAGCAAAGGAAUUCAAAGUAGGUCUGGGAACCUGGGAGUGAAAGAGCAAGAUUUUCUGGUACUUCAAGGAUUUUUGCUACCUCAAAAGUAAUCUGGGCAUCAGUGUUGGUUUUUUAAAAUCCCAGAAAGGAAUCAGCAGCAUUUUCUUUUGUCAGCUUCAGGUACGCAACCAAGGAAACCAAUGCAAGUAUUUUCAAGGGAAUGAAGGGCUUUGUCGCCCACAGGAUCAUUCAUAUACCAUUCUGACCAGUGGUGGGUUGCUACCGGUUUGCCCUGGUUCGGGCGAACCAGUAGCAGCGGCAGCAGGAGGCUCCGCCCACCCACCCAGAUGUCAGCAAAUACGCUCUGCACAUGCACAGAAGUGGCAGGCGAGCAAACCAGUAGCAAAGUUUCACUCGAUAAACCUGUGUAAUACUUACAUAAUCUUCUGAUCCAGAAUACUAACUCAACAACUAUGGAACACUAACUUAGAUGAAAUAUCAUCUUGCCAGUAGAAUACAUGAACCUGAUUCUCUGGAUAAAAUGCUGUGAGUAUUAAUUGUGGAAUUCUCUUACUAAAAUAAUUGAGAAUAUUUUCUUUACAAGGAUACUGCAUUAAACAAGUCUUUUAACAAUUUAAACCUAAUGUAUUUGUUACAUCAAAAUACCGUCGCACAAAAUCCAUCUCAUCAGGUGAUUGUAAUAAACUUAUUGGUUUUUUUGGUGUUGCAAAACUCUUUGUUGCUUUUGCUGCAAAAGGCAUGCCAGCUAUUCCUCUGGAGCUUGCUAUACCUAAAAGCAUUAUUUAUAUUAAAUGAAUGCUGCUCAAAUGGAAAUAUUUCUUCAUUUCUAAAGGCAUUUUAUUUUAUAAUUAAUGUAAUUGCAAAAAAAAACCUGUUUAGAACUCUCAGUUCAGCAAUAUUAGAAAAAACAGAAGUCCUGAGGUUUUCUUAUUAACAUUGAAUUGUUUGCUUUUGCUAGCCUUACAGCCUAAUUAAACAGCCUAUUGUAAUACCAAUUCUAGCGUAAAUCAAUCAGCUAGAAUGAAACCAAUGCCAAUAAUUUGAUAUCACAUUCUAUCACAUUGUAUUUUUAGGAUAUCUUAUUAUCACCAACAUAUACUUUUUUUUCUUCUGCUCAACAGUACCUGAUUCUCAGAUACUACCUGGAAAGUCCCUGAAGUUUCCUUAGCAGAGUUCUUCAGAAGGGUUAUGUCCUUACCUCUUUCUUAGGGCUGAGAGAGACUGGUGGCCUAAGAUUACCCAGCUGGCUUUAUCCCUAAGAACGUGUCAAGAAAAUAAGGUUUCCAAGAAAUCAGAUGUUACGCGUAAGAAAAAUAUAACGUCUCAGCAACACAAGCAGAAUUAUGGUGGAGAUUUGACUCUCUCUAAUCAAUAAAUUAACAGCAAUUUUACAUCUGUCAUACAAAAAAGCCAACCAUCUCAAAAAGCUCUUUGAUUAAAUGCUGAAUGUUAUAUCCAAAUAGCUUACUUUUCAACAAAACCAUCUCUGGUGAAAUAUUCAUGCUGUAGCAAAUCAGCAGAUGAUAUCCUGUCUGCAGGAUCCAUUUGUAAACAAGCCUAGUAAAUAAAAAUUAUUAUGUUAGAAAUGAUAUACUACAGAAGAAUGUUGU